UACGUAGGUGGCAAGCGUUGUCCGGAUUUACUGGGCGUAAAGAGCGCGCAGGCGGUCGUUCAAGUCGCGUGUGAAAGCCCCCGGCUCAACUGGGGAGGGUCACGCGAUACUGAUCGACUCGAAGGCAGGAGAGGGUAGUGGAAUUCCCGGUGUAGUGGUGAAAUGCGUAGAUAUCGGGAGGAACACCAGUGGCGAAGGCGAAUACCUGGCCUGUUCUUGACGCUGAGGCGCGAAAGCUAGGGGAGCAAACGGG
rnacentral:rRNA from 1 species